rnacentral:tRNA from 1 species
GGCUGUUAACCGGCAGGUUACUGGUUCGAGUCCAGUCGGGGGAGCUCGGUCCCCUGUAGCUCAAUUGGCAGAG